UACGUAGGUGGCAAGCGUUGUCCGGAUUUACUGGGCGUAAAGAGCGCGCAGGCGGUCGUUCAAGUCGCGUGUGAAAGCCCCCGGCUCAACUGGGGAGGGUCACGCGAUACUGAUCGACUCGAAGGCAGGAGAGGGAAGUGGAAUUCCCGGUGUAGUGGUGAAAUGCGUAGAUAUCGGGAGGAACACCAAUGGCGAAGGCAGCACUCUGGGACGUGACUGACGCUGAGACGCGAAAGCGUGGGGAGCAAACAGG
rnacentral:rRNA from 1 species